rnacentral:rRNA from 1 species
GAUGAACGCUGGCGGCGUGCCUAACACAUGCAAGUCGAACGGAGAUUACGGACGGAAGUUUUCGGAUGGAAGCCUGUAAUUCUUAGUGGCGGACGGGUGAGUAACGCGUGGGCAACCUGCCCUAUACAGGGGGAUAGCAGCUGGAAACGGCUGGUAAGACCGCAUAAGUCGGUUAAAUCGCAUGAUUUGAUCGGGAAAUGAGCAAUCAGGUAUAGGAUGGGCCCGCGUCCGAUUAGCCAGUUGGCAGGGUAGAAGCCUACCAAAGCGACGAUCGGUAGCCGGACUGAGAGGUCGGACGGCCACAUUGGGACUGAGACACGGCCCAAACUCCUACGGGAAGAAGCAGUGGGGGAUAUUGCACAAUGGAGGAAACUCUGAUGCAGCGAAGCCGCGUGAGUGAAGAAGUAUUUCGGUAUGUAAAGCUCUAUCAGCAGGGAAGAUGAUGACGGUACCUGACUAAGAAGCCCCGGCUAACUACGUG